UCAGACGAUGCGUCAUGCAUAUCAAUAAGCGGAGGAAAAGAAACUAACAAGGAUUCCCCUAGUAACGGCGAGUGAAGCGGGAAGAGCUCAAAUUUGAAAUCUUAAAGGGUUUCCCUUUACGAAUUGUAGUUUAAAGAAGUGUUUUCUGUUGAGGUUUUGGUAAAAGUUCUUUGGAAUAGGACAUCAUAGAGGGUGAGAAUCCCGUAUUUGACCUUUACUUUCAACUUUGUGAUACACUUUCAAAGAGUCGGAUUGUUUGGGAAUGCAGUCCAAAAUGGGUGGCUAAAUUUCAUCUAAAGCUAAAUAUUGGCGAGAGACCGAUAGCGAACAAGUACCGUGAGGGAAAGAUGAAAAGAACUUUGAAAAGAGAGUUAAACAGUACGUGAAAUUGUCAAAAGGGAAGCGUUUGACACCAGUGUUGUUUUUCUGAAAAUCAAUUAAAGAACUGUUUAUGCUAAGUUGUUUAGACUUUAUCAGCUAUACUGUUUAGUUUUGAGCUUUUCUUUAAUGCACUUUUCAGUUAACAAGUCAACAUCAAUUUCUUUUGCUGUAAAAAAGCUUGAGGAAGGUGGCUUGAGAUUCGUCUUAAGUGUUUAUAGCCUCUUGCCUAUGCAGUCGGAGAGAUUGAGGUCUGCAGCGUAGAUCCUUCGGGGCUAAAUGCAUUUGUGCUAAGUUAUAGCAUUUUAUAGACAACUUGUUGACUAUGAUUUGUCUUGUAGCUUACUCGCUUAUGUUAUUUUACCUACGCUUAGGAUGUUGAAUCUGUGCGAGACUAC
rnacentral:rRNA from 1 species